GCUUCGGUGGCGGAAUUGGUAGACGCGCUGGAUUCAAAAUCCAGUUCUCUCGAGAGUGUGGGUUCGAUUCCCACCCGAAGUA
rnacentral:tRNA from 1 species